rnacentral:rRNA from 1 species
CAGCCGCCGCGGUAAAACGUAGGUGGCAAGCGUUGUCCGGAAUUAUUGGGCGUAAAGGGCUCGCAGGCGGUUUCUUAAGUCUGAUGUGAAAGCCCCCGGCUCAACCGGGGAGGGUCAUUGGAAACUGGGAAACUUGAGUGCAGAAGAGGAGAGUGGAAUUCCACGUGUAGCGGUGAAAUGCGUAGAGAUGUGGAGGAACACCAGUGGCGAAGGCGACUCUCUGGUCUGUAACUGACGCUGAGGAGCGAAAGCGUGGGGAGCGAACAGGAUUAGAUACCCCCGUAGUCCCUGUCUCUUAUAC